rnacentral:rRNA from 1 species
UACAGAGGUCCCGAGCGUUGUUCGGAUUUAUUGGGCGUAAAGGGUGCGUAGGCGGCGGAGUAAGUUGGGUGUGAAAUCCCGGGGCUUAACCUCGGAAUUGCAUUCAAUACUGCUUCGCUUGAGUACUGGAGAGGAGGCUGGAAUUUACGGUGUAGCAGUGAAAUGCGUAGAUAUCGUAAGGAAGGCCGGUGGCGAAAGCGAGCCUCUGGACAGUUACUGACGCUGAUGCACGAAGGCCAGGGGAGCAAACGGG